UGGAUGCAGAAGAGGAAGGAGUGACGGA
rnacentral:sRNA from 1 species